rnacentral:hammerhead_ribozyme from 1 species
AUCCAGCUGAGGAGUCCAAAAUAACACGAAAGGCGCGUCCUGGAU